GACGAACGCUGGCGGCGUGCUUAACACAUGCAAGUCGAGCGGUAAGGCUCCUUCGGGAGUACACGAGCGGCGAACGGGUGAGUAACACGUGAGCAAUCUGCCCUUCACUUUGGGAUAACUCCGGGAAACCGGUGCUAAUACCGAAUGCGACCACUUCAGGCAUCUGACGGUGGUGGAAAGUUCCGGCGGUGAAGGAUGAGCUCGCGGCAUAUCAGCUUGUUGGUGAGGUAAUGGCUCACCAAGGCUUCGACGGGUAGCCGGCCUGAGAGGGUGACCGGCCACACUGGGACUGAGACACGGCCCAGACUCCUACGGGAGGCAGCAGUGGGGAAUAUUGGACAAUGGGCGAAAGCCUGAUCCAGCAACGCCG
rnacentral:rRNA from 1 species